CUCCUUGUCCUUCCACUUGGUGAGAUCCAUCCGGGGCAGGACGGAACUCUUGCACGACACUCGCGGAUUGCUGCGUCGGGUGAUUCGAAUUAAUUUAUUCGACUGCAAGUGCACUUAAUUCCUUGCAAGUCGCUAAGCUGAGACUGACAGCAGCAACAGGAGCGCUCCACCUUUUGACCGGGAGAGAGUCAACAAAGUGUUCGUCUUUCAUCAUUAUUGCAGCACCUGAUGAAAGCAUUCGAGUCAGACGAUGCUUUUGCUUCAACAGUUCCGGGGGAGACGGAGAUGCUGCCAGCACCGCACUGGAGGUUGCCAAGGAACCCACGGAAGCGCAAUAUUGUCGGAGGACGUUGAACUGUCUGAAAUGCAAUUCCGGCGUUCUGUCCGGUCGUUCGUCGUAGAGGUUCUCUCCCGGUAUCAUGUAUGCGAUGGAUGUUGUUGUAGGGUAGUGGGUAGUUGUCGAUUGUUUCGCUACAUUAUUAUUACAACUAUAGCCAUCUAGCGCUAAUUUUAGCUAAUGCUGGCGUACAGCGUUGUGUAUACCACGUAUGUUGUAACGAUAUGUAUUGUUUUGACGCGAAUCCAAUCGAGAAUGAAAGCGACGCGUCACGAUGGUACAGAGACCACCAGGUAGUAGAGCAAAUGGAGAACGAAGCCUUGAAUUUCACGGUUUUCAUCAAAUCCAAAAUGAACGACAAAAGCGUUGCUUUCGCAUUGACAGCCCCCGAUGUGAACGACGAGACGUGCUCCACUGACCACUGGGUCGUCCAUUUUCGCUUAAUCUUGAUCCAUUAAAAAGCCGUUCAAAUUCUCAGCUCCAGGAUGAAGUUGCAGGUGUUCGCCAACAGGAUUGCCAACAGGAUUCGCCAACAGGUUGGCAUGAUGUCAACAACGACUGUUAAUUUAUCCGAUUUUUUAUUAAUUUUCCAGGUGAAGAGAUAUAUGGCCGGCUGGCCGCAAUGAAUAGUUCAAAUUUAAAGCAGAAACAAAUCUUUCGUGUACGUCCAGAUUGUUUACGGCUGCAACCCAGACUUGGAAUCGCCUGCGAAAAGAAGUUUAUCCAAAUUGACGAACGGCAUUUCCACGGCGACAGAAACGACAAACGCCAAAAGGAACGAGAUCACCAAAAUGCCGGCAAAAUUCAUAGCUCCAGAAAUUUCAGUAAAGUAGUAAGGCUUGCGCAGGAAUCGGUGGACGAAACCUGUUCAGACACAGUUAGAGCGUGGUUGGUAAAAUAUUUUAGCAGCACCACAAAGAAUAAAUCCAACCUCCAUAUCCGUGAGUGCAGGCGAAUAUGAUCCAACCGAUGGUAAUCGCCCAAGCCGAGUGAUUCAAAACUCCGUAGGAAACCCGAAUAAACGGGUCGAUGACUGGAACUGUGGCCUCAUCCAGAUAAGGAAACAUUCCCAAAUUUACGGUCUGAACCAAAAGAUUGUUGGUGGUAGAUUGUGAACAACAAAAACAAUCGUGGAUAUUCCCAA